rnacentral:rRNA from 1 species
GCGCAGCAGGCGCGAAACUUUACAAUGUGCGAAGCACGAUAAGGAACUCUGAGUGCCUCCUAAGGAGGCUGUUCAGGUGUCUAAAAGCACCUGAAGGAGGGGCUAGGUAAGACCGGUGCCAGCCGCCGCGGUAACACCGGCAGCCCAAGUGGUAGCCACGUUUAUUGGGUCUAAAGCGUCCGUAGCCGGCUGGGGUAAGUUCCUUGGGAAAUUUGGCUGCUUAACAGUCAAGCUUUCAGGGAAUACUGCCCGGCUUGGGACCGGGAGAGGUCAGAGGUACUCCAGGGGUAGGGUGAAAUCCAUUAAUCCUUGGGGGACCACCGGUAGCGAAGGCGUCUGACCAGACCGGGUCCGACGGUGAGGGACGAAGGCUAGGGGCGCGAACCGGAUUAGAUACCCCUGUAGU